ACAGAUUCCAGGCCAUGGCCUGAGGGAGGCGAGUGGUUUCAGAGACCAGCCCACGGUAAGGAAACAUUGUGUCUUACAACAUCCAGAAGGAACACAGUCUGAUGACCCACUGCAUACUUCGUGCCUCCUACAUAAGGAGAUAGUUUUGGCAACCUCAAGCAAAGUGUCCAUGAAGUCGGUCUUCUGCUUUCCCACAGCAGUUGGGAGACAAGGAUGUUAUUUCCUUUGAUGAUUACAUUUCAAAGGGAUGGCUCCCAGGCCUUUGAAGCAGAGGUAAGGCCUCCUGCGGACUGCACUCCUUCCUUGCUGUUUUUCCCUGGUACAUAGGUUUCCCUGGACAGCAGGACCUCCGCCGGCGCGUAGGUUUCCCUGGACAGCAGGACCUCCGCCGGUACAUACGUUUCCCUGGACAGCAGGACCUCUGCCGGCACGUGGGUUUCCCUGGACAGCAGGACCUCCGCUGAUACGUAGGUUUCAGGGUCUGCAUUACUUCGCUGUUUCUCCGCUGCUGGCAGGCCUCUGCUGGUGCACGGGGUGCAGGGACUCCCUCCAUCCUUUCUUUUCUGGUGCUGUUCCCCUGCUCUGAGUCCUGAUAGCCAUGAACAGAGAGCUUCACUCUUGUAUCAUUCCACCAUGAUAUUUUUGCCUUGGAGCUGCUGACCAUGAAUUGAUUCUCCUUUAAAUGUGAGCUAUGUUGAACUUCCCUUCUUUUAAAUUGUGGGUGUCAGCUAUUGUGUCCACCAAUGAGAAAGCUAACAUACACUAUUUAAGGUAUUUCACGUAUAAAAUUUCAAAUUAUACUGUUAAGGAACAAGUCCAUACUACAAGACAUAAUCAUAUAAUUGUGUUUCUUGCUGCUAAAGGUAAACAUACAAUAAUUAGCAAAGAAACUUUUUUGGGAAGCAGGGUCUUGAUGUGUAGUUCAGGUUGCUUUGAACUCACUGUAUAGUUCAGGCUGACCUUAAACUUGCAGCAAUUGUCCUGUAUCAGCCUCCCAAAUGCUGUGAUUACAGGCAUGUGCCACCAUGGUUGGCAUGAAACUAAUGUUUACCAGACAACUUUUGUAUGCUGAAUACAUAAAUGAAAAAUUCUUUUAACCCAUUUUUGUGUUUUUUAUUUCUCAUCUACUUUAACCUGAAUUCACAUGACUAUUUCAUGAUUCCUUUGGAUAUGGUCAAUUAUCUUUAUAUUGUGAUGAUUGAUUACAUAUGCUAAUAUUUUGUAUUUUACAGACACUAUGACUUGUUUUCACUCUUAAAUUUUGAAUCAAUUAAGAAACAAUGAUCUUACAUGAAUGCCUACUGAACCUGACAUGGACUUUAAAACAUAUAAAAUAUAAAUAUUCUUAUUUGAAACAUUACAAUGGUUAAAAAAAGAAAUCCACAAAUUUGAGAAAUUGAAAUAUGCUUGAGUUUGGAAAAACAUCCUUACAAAGUUAAUGCCUAGAAGGGAUGGUUAUUGUUUUAUUUCUAUAUUUUAAAAUACCUUUUUAAAGAAUUUUUUGAUCCACAAUGUAAAUGUAAUGACUUUCAAAUAACUGCGGUAAAUAGUUCUGAAUAAAUGAAAUGUUCUGGUUUACACUGACUCCUUUAAAAAUCUCAGUAUUUGAUCAUUUAAAAACUAUGUUCUGAAUAUAUUCACAGUAUAAGGUAAUAACUAGUUCAAAUUUAACAUAUUUUCAUUUUCACAGUAUUUCAAAUGUCAGUACUGUAACGGGUGGACUGAUUCUGUGUUCUUUGGGACACUGCCAAUACUUGCUUCUGUGUUCUCUGUUGACUUCUUUGCAAAGUUCUUAAUGUGAGUUUUGCUUAGAUAUGCACACUGAGUAACUAUGAGAUCACUGAACAAUUUUCUUCAUUACAAAUUUUCCAUUUUAUACUUUCAAAUUUUUAUUUUCGUUACUUGUGCAUUAUAAACACUAUUUCAUUUUAAAUA